rnacentral:lncRNA from 1 species
CUUUUCAUGAGAGACCAAAAAAGUGCAAAUAUUCAUAUACUGUCAGAUUUUGUGAUGUGAGCUCAUGAGACAUCAACUUACUCAGUUUCGGCACAGUGAAGGUCCUAUAGAUGCUUUGAAUAGUUGAGUGGGAUGAAUGAACGAUUGUGGCCAAUUUCUUGACUGCUGCCUCUGGAUUUCCCUCAACAGUAGCUUUCAGCACAUUCAACACAGUUCAUCACAGGUCAUCAUAUCCAUGAGGGUUCUGUUACCCAAUCAGAAUUUCUGGAAUUAUCCUGGACACACACUGAUAUUCAGGGUACCUUACCCAUGUAUGAUAUUGAUGUUUUAUCUCACUGCAUUUGCUAUAUGCUCUUGGUGAAACUCAUAAUAACAUAAUACACCUUAUGUACUUUUCAGACACU